AUUGAACGCUGGCGGCAGGCCUAACACAUGCAAGUCGAACGGCAGCACAGAAGAGCUUGCUCUUUGGGUGGCGAGUGGCGGACGGGUGAGUAAUGUCUGGGAAACUGCCCGAUGGAGGGGGAUAACUACUGGAAACGGUAGCUAAUACCGCAUAACGUCGCAAGACCAAAGUGGGGGACCUUCGGGCCUCACACCAUCGGAUGUGCCCAGAUGGGAUUAGCUAGUAGGUGGGGUAAUGGCUCACCUAGGCGACGAUCCCUAGCUGGUCUGAGAGGAUGACCAGCCACACUGGAACUGAGACACGGUCCAGACUCGUACGGGAGGCAGCAGUGGGGAAUAUUGCACAAUGGGCGGAAGCCUGAUGCAGCCAUGCAGCGUGUAUGAAGAAGGCCUUCGGGUUGUAAAGUACUUUCAGCGGAGAGGAAGGCGGUGAGGUUAAUAACCUUGCCGAUUGACGUUACCCGCAGAAGAAGCACCGGCUAACUCCGUGCCAGCCGCCGCCGUAA
rnacentral:rRNA from 1 species